AGCCAAGUCGGUAGAGCAGAGCCCUGAAAAGGCUUGUGUCGGCGGUUCGAUUCCGUCCCUGGCCACCA
rnacentral:tRNA from 1 species